GACGGAGGAUGCAAGUGUUAUCCGGAAUCACUGGGCGUAAAGCGUCUGUAGGUGGUCAAAUAAGUCAACUGUUAAAUCUUGAGGCUCAACCUCAAAAUCGCAGUCGAAACUAUUAGACUAGAGUAUAGUAGGGGUAAAGGGAAUUCCAGUGGAGCGGUGAAAUGCGUAGAGAUUGGAAAGAACACCGAUGGCGAAGGCACUUUACUGGGCUAUUACUAACACUCAGAGACGAAAGCUAGGGUAGGCAAAUGGG
rnacentral:rRNA from 1 species